rnacentral:lncRNA from 1 species
CUGACCCAAUCAAUACCUAGAUGCUGUAGGAAGAUUGACAGGCAUCACUCUCACAGCUGGAGAGGAAGGGGCCUGGGUGCCGGUGGGAGGCAGGGAGGCUGGCCUCUACUCGAGCCCUAUAAAAAUUGGAAGGAAGCCUUGGAAAGAAAUCUGGCCAGGAUAAAGAGAGAGCCAGAUUUCAGUGUGUGUGUGAGUGUGUGUGUGUGAGUGUGUGUGUGUGUGUGUGUGUGUGUGUGUGUGUGUGUGUGUGUGUGUGUUGGGGGGGGCGGGUUGUGGAGGUAGGGGCUAGAAGACUGAGACUGGAAACCCAGGAUACAGUGUUCCCAAGAGUGGAAGGAACCCAUGGCAAGAGAGGGCAAGUCCUAGACCCAAGACACACAGAAGAUGGCACAGAGCAGAAAGGGCCUGAACAGAACCCGACUCACCUGGCUCUCCGUGCAGCAGCGUUCAGGAAUGGCAGAGGGAAGAAGGCUGAGAAAGGGGGUGGAAAAAUGGAGAGGGAGGAAAAGCGGGGGAGGGGUAGCUGCUGAGAGGAGCUGAGGAGCUAUGCUCAAUGUGGACUGAGACUUGUGAGAGGCACGGGGCGGAGAGCGCAGCGAGCGGGGCCAGCCCCGCAGGAGCCCGGAGGACAGACCCAGACCCUGGACUUUAAGGCCCCCAGCAUUCUUCCGGCCGCCCGACCUCCCCCACUCAGCCCGGUGGGAAUGCGCGGAAUGUGAUGAGCUGAUAAGAGCGGAACUCCCACUCCACCUGGCACCGGAGCUUGCUGGGGCUCCAGGCCUCCCCCACCUCUUCGACGGGAUGUACUUGGGGGGAUUUGGUGAACGCAACGCUAAAGAGGAGGAGAGCCGCUAGGACGGUCUCGGUGGAGUGCCUCGAAUGUGGGGCCAGCAGCCAGAUGCCAGAGCUGUGGGCACAGCCAGAUGCCUCCCAGCUGAGCCAUGCUCUCCCUGGACAUACACUUCUAGGACAAGUUGCUGAAGAGAGCAGAAGGAAGCAGCAGGAGAGGGGGCUGGGAUCGGCGGUUUGAGGUUGAGCUUGUUUAGAGGAGAAGAGAGAUGGAGAAAACCUCAGCCCCAGGGACCACUGUGUGGCUACACCUGAGACCCACUGCGGGCGACCUGAUAUGGGGAAGCGAUCCAAACUUUGUUCAGGGCCCUCUGCCCGCUGGCUCUGCUACAGAACGAAGGAAUAGCGGCACCAUCCCAAGUGGCUGCAGCGGGAAUCAACCCAGGCAGUAGGCCAUGCGGCUUCAGACCUGGCCCACAGACACCUGCCACCAUUGUAGGCCUGGCGAGGGACAGCCUGCACCGGCUGCUGGGCGGGGAGGGAGGAUGAAGUACCUAGAACAUCCACCCUGUCCUGACCACAACUAAAACAUGUGAGGAAUCAAAUUAAAAAAAAACCAUGAAUGAGUGAUAAUUGAAUAAAUGAACGAAGGAUGAAUAAGCAAACCUAUGACCCAACCGAGUUUAUCCUAGUUCCCAGCCGCUAGUUCUUUGGAAGUGGGCAGGCCUGCCGCCUGGUGGUGACUAGGGUAACUGCAGCCAAGAUAAGCGCUUUCCCACAGGGUAAGACUCUAGAAUUUGGCUCUUCCUCAGGCUAGCCUUGAACCCACAAUCCUCCCAUCUUGUUCUCCUAAGCACUGAAACGGUAGGCUUACAGGUGUGUGCCACCGAGCCUCUUAAUUUUCUUCUGGGGAAAGAGAUUCCUGAUGCUUGGGAAAAGCUGCAAUUUGAUCUUUUUUCUCUCUCUCUCUCUUGUUCCCCAAGCAGAAACAGGUGGGCAGGACUCCCUGCCCUCACCAUAC